rnacentral:misc_RNA from 1 species
UGCGGCUGGAUCCCCUCCUUUCUGAGAAACGAACGAACGCACCGACGCCGAGAGGCAGAGUGCAAGUAACACCUUUGAACACGAACACUUCGUGUUGAAGGCUCUUUCUGUCCACUUUUCUGCUGUUAAGCGCAGCAGACGGCGGUCGCAAGGUCGCCAGCACCUUAACAACUGAAUGUCAUAGCGCAUUGAACACAAAAGUAUCAGUAUCCGUGCAACACAGUUCAAAGCGAAGAAGGGCACACGGGGGAUGCCUUGGCGUCAAGUGCCGACGAAGGACGCGGUACACUGCGAAAAGCGUGGAUGAGGCGUGUGCAGCCGUAAGAGUCCACGAUGUCCGAAUGGGGAAACCCGG